UUGAACGCUGGCGGCAUGCUUUACACAUGCAAGUCGAACGGUAACAGGCCGCAAGGUGCUGACGAGUGGCGAACGGGUGAGUAAUGCAUCGGAACGUGCCCAGUCGUGGGGGAUAACUACUCGAAAGAGUAGCUAAUACCGCAUACGAUCUAUGGAUGAAAGCGGGGGACCGUAAGGCCUCGCGCGAUUGGAGCGGCCGAUGUCAGAUUAGGUAGUUGGUGGGGUAAAGGCUCACCAAGCCAACGAUCUGUAGCUGGUCUGAGAGGACGACCAGCCACACUGGGACUGAGACACGGCCCAGACUCCUACGGGAGGCAGCAGUGGGGAAUUUUGGACAAUGGGCGCAAGCCUGAUCCAGCAAUGCCGCGUGCAGGAAGAAGGCCUUCGGGUUGUAAACUGCUUUUGUACGGAACGAAACGGCUCUGGUUAAUACCCGGGGCUAAUGACGGUACCGUAAGAAUAAGCACCGGCUAACUACGUG
rnacentral:rRNA from 1 species